CGACGUAGGUAAUCUACCUUAAAGUUGGGAAUAACCUGCCGAAAGGCGGGCUAAUACCCGAUAGAGCGACGGGAUCCGUAAUCGGAUCUUUCGGGAAAGGGAGCUUGUUAAGAGCCCUCGCUUUAGGAUGAGCCUGCGUCCCAUUAGGUAGUUGGUGAGGUAACGGCUCACCAAGCCUUUGAUGGGUAGCUGGUCUGAGAGGAUGAUCAGCCACACUGGAACUGAAACACGGUCCAG
rnacentral:rRNA from 1 species